GGUGUGAGCUCGGUGGCGGGCUGUCUCUAGAUGUUGGCAUAUCUCUGACAUUGGUCGCACUUUUUGACGUAUUCAAUUGAGUCACGAUGCAUAGUCGGCCAGUAAUAUCCUUGGUGGAGCAACUUGUGGGACAAGGAUCUAGCCCUGAGAUGGCUUCCGCAGAUUCCUUCAUGCACCUCCCACAAGGCGUAGUCAGCUUCUGA
rnacentral:lncRNA from 1 species